UUUCCGUAGGUGAACCUGCGGAAGGAUCAUUAUUGUAUAACCGAGGUGCGAGGGCUUUCGCUUACCCGAAAGGUCGUGCACGCCCGAGUGCCCUCACACACAUCCAUCUCACCCCUAUGUGCACCACCGCGUGGGUCCCCCUUUGGCUUGUUCGGAGGGGGGCUUACGUUUUCACACAAACUUUGUAUGCAGUGUAGAAUGUAUUUUUUGUUCUUGCGAUCACGCAAUCAAUACAACUUUCAACAACGGAUCUCUUGGCUCUC
rnacentral:misc_RNA from 1 species